GAAGGAAGCACCAUCUGACCCUCAAUCAUCACACGUCCAUGGAGAACAAUUAGCAGUGCAAUCAGAACUGUACAUUAUUCCAGAAUGUGCAGUUUCAAGAAAUCAGAUGGAACGUGAGGGGAAGAUUGGGGGAAGGCUGAAUCCUGAAAUAAAGUUUCAAUUUGAUGUUUAUAUUCAGAAGAUAAACAUUGACCUUUCUCCAGAUUUAAAAAUGACUGAGUAAUUAGUAAUACUAGUUGUGGGGUCCCAUGAUCUGACCACGAGCGAGGUGUUCCACAGAAGUGAGCUUUUCAGAUAAUUGAAUUUCUGAAUCAACUCUGUCCACACCCUGGUUUUCUUCUCCUUCCUUCCUGUCAAUUUAUGCUAUCUUAUUGGAUUUUGUGUAUUCUUGUAAGUCAUCUUUAAUCUUGGGCGGAACCUGGCAAGGCCUGUAGAAAUAAAUAGAUGCAUUUAAAAAACUAAAAAAUGGCAGAUAACUACAUGAACCUUGCCUUUUUAAAGCACCAAUACUUUUUUUAACUUGAAAAUUUUUCUGAAAUAAACUACAUGCUUCAUUG